GUUGGGUAGGGGAGCGUUCUGUAAGCCUGUGAAGGUGGCCCGUGAGGGUUGCUGGAGGUAUCAGAAGUGCGAAUGCUGACAUAAGUAACGAUAAAGCGGGUGAAAAGCCCGCUCGCCGGAAGACCAAGGGUUCCUGUCCAACGUUAAUCGGGGCAGGGUGAGUCGACCCCUAAGGCGAGGCCGAAAGGCGUAGUCGAUGGGAAACGGGUUAAUAUUCCCGUACUUGGUGUUACUGCGAAGGGGGGACGGAGAAGGCUAUGUUGGCCGGGCGACGGUUGUCCCGGUUUAAGCGUGUAGGCUGGUUUUCCAGGCAAAUCCGGAAAAUCAAGGCUGAGGCGUGACGACGAGGCACUACGGUGCUGAAGCAACAAAUGCCCUGCUUCCAGGAAAAGCCUCUAAGCAUCAGGUAACAUCAAAUCGUACCCCAAACCGACACAGGUGGUCAGGUAGAGAAUACCAAGGCGCUUGAGAGAACUCGGGUGAAGGAACUAGGCAAAAUGGUGCCGUAACUUCGGGAGAAGGCACGCUGACACGUAGGUGAAGUGAUUUACUCAUGGAGCUGAAGUCAGUCGAAGAUACCAGCUGGCUGCAACUGUUUAUUAAAAACACAGCACUGUGCAAACACGAAAGUGGACGUAUACGGUGUGACGCCUGCCCGGUGCCGGAAGGUUAAUUGAUGGGGUCAGCGCAAGCGAAGCUCCUGAUCGAAGCCCCGGUAAACGGCGGCCGUAACUAUAACGGUCCUAAGGUAGCGAAAUUCCUUGUCGGGUAAGUUCCGACCUGCACGAAUGGCGUAAUGAUGGCCAGGCUGUCUCCACCCGAGACUCAGUGAAAUUGAACUCGCUGUGAAGAUGCAGUGUACCCGCGGCAAGACGGAAAGACCCCGUGAACCUUUACUAUAGCUUGACACUGAACAUUGAGCCUUGAUGUGUAGGAUAGGUGGGAGGCUUUGAAGUGUGGACGCCAGUCUGCAUGGAGCCGACCUUGAAAUACCACCCUUUAAUGUUUGAUGUUCUAACGUGGACCCGUAAUCCGGGUUGCGGACAGUGUCUGGUGGGUAGUUUGACUGGGGCGGUCUCCUCCUAAAGAGUAACGGAGGAGCACGAAGGUUGGCUAAUCCUGGUCGGACAUCAGGAGGUUAGUGCAAUGGCAUAAGCCAGCUUGACUGCGAGCGUGACGGCGCGAGCAGGUGCGAAAGCAGGUCAUAGUGAUCCGGUGGUUCUGAAUGGAAGGGCCAUCGCUCAACGGAUAAAAGGUACUCCGGGGAUAACAGGCUGAUACCGCCCAAGAGUUCAUAUCGACGGCGGUGUUUGGCACCUCGAUGUCGGCUCAUCACAUCCUGGGGCUGAAGUAGGUCCCAAGGGUAUGGCUGUUCGCCAUUUAAAGUGGUACGCGAGCUGGGUUUAGAACGUCGUGAGACAGUUCGGUCCCUAUCUGCCGUGGGCGCUGGAGAACUGAGGGGGGCUGCUCCUAGUACGAGAGGACCGGAGUGGACGCAUCACUGGUGUUCGGGUUGUCAUGCCAAUGGCACUGCCCGGUAGCUAAAUGCGGAAGAGAUAAGUGCUGAAAGCAUCUAAGCACGAAACUUGCCCCGAGAUGAGUUCUCCCUGAGACUUA
rnacentral:rRNA from 1 species